GAUGAACGCUGGCGGCGUGCCUAAUACAUGCAAGUCGAGCGAACAGACGAGGAGCUUGCUCCUCUGACGUUAGCGGCGGACGGGUGAGUAACACGUGGAUAACCUACCUAUAAGACUGGGAUAACUUCGGGAAACCGGAGCUAAUACCGGAUAACAUUUUGAACCGCAUGGUUCAAAAGUGAAAGACGGUCUUGCUGUCACUUAUAGAUGGAUCCGCGCUGCAUUAGCUAGUUGGUAAGGUAACGGCUUACCAAGGCAACGAUGCGUAGCCGACCUGAGAGGGUGAUCGGCCACACUGGAACUGAGACACGGUCCAGACUCCUACGGGAGGCAGCAGUAGGGAAUCUUCCGCAAUGGGCGAAAGCCUGACGGAGCAACGCCGCGUGAGUGAUGAAGGUCUUCGGAUCGUAAAACUCUGUUAUUAGGGAAGAACAAAUGUGUAAGUAACUGUGCACGUCUUGACGGUACCUAAUCAGAAAGCCACGGCUAACUACGUG
rnacentral:rRNA from 1 species